UACAUGGGGUGCAAACGUUGCUCGGAAUUAUUGGGCGUAAAGCGCACGUAGGCGGUUCGUUAAGUCGGAUGUGAAAGCCCUCGGCUCAACUGAGGAAGUGCACCCGAAACUGGCGAGCUUGAGUACGAAAAGAGGAUCGCGGAAUUCCCGGUGUAGAGGUGAAAUUCGUAGAUAUCGGGGAGGAACACCGGUGGCGAAGGCGGCGAUCUGGGUCGAUACUGACGCUGAGGUGCGAAAAGCGUGGGGGAGCAAACAAGG
rnacentral:rRNA from 1 species